rnacentral:rRNA from 1 species
CCUACGGGUGGCUGCAGUGAGGAAUAUUGGUCAAUGGCCGGGAGGCUGAACCAGCCAUGCCGCGUGAAGGUCAGUGCCCUAUGGGCGUUAAACUUCUUUUGUGCGGGAGCAAUAGUGGUCACGUGUGGCCAGACGAGAGUACCGUACAGAUAAGCAUCCGGUAACUCCGUGCCAGCAACCGCGGUAAUACGGGGGAUGCAAGCGUUAUGCGGAGUUAUUGGGUUUAAAGGGUGCGUAGGGUGGGAGGUAAGUCAGCGGUGAAAUGCCCCCGCGCAACGGGGUGAAGUGCCAUUGAUACUGGCUGGCUGGAAUGCGGAUGCAGUGGGAGGAAUGUGUGGUGUAGCGGUGAAAUGCAUAGAUAUCACACAGAACACCGAUUGCGAAGGCAUCUCACGAAUCCGCGAUUGACGCUGAUGCACGAAAGCGUGGGUAUCAAACAGGAUUAGAUACCCCUGUAGUC